UACGUAGGGAGCAAGCGUUGUCCGGAAUCAUUGGGCGUAAAGCGUGCGUAGGUGGCCUCAUAAGUCCGCUGUGAAAGUCAAAGGCUCAACCUUUGAAAGCCGGUGGAUACUGUGGGGCUAGAGUACGGAAGAGGCGAGUGGAAUUCCUGGUGUAGCGGUGGAAUGCGCAGAUAUCAGGAGGAACGCCAAUAGCGAAGGCAGCUCGCUGGGACGUUACUGACACUGAGGCGCGAAAGCGUGGGGAGCGAACAGG
rnacentral:rRNA from 1 species